AGAGUUUGAUCAUGGCUCAGGAUUAACGUUGGUAGUAUGCUUAACACAUGCAAGUCGAGCGGAAAGUAGCAAUACUUUUAGCGGCGAACGGGUGAGUAAUACUUAUCUAACUUGCCAAUUAGUGGGGGAUAACCAUGGGAAACCAUGGCUAAUACCGCAUUUGUUACUUGUAAUGAAAGGGGGUCGCAAGAUUCUCGCUA
rnacentral:rRNA from 1 species